rnacentral:lncRNA from 1 species
GUCAGUAACUUGGGAAAUAUUCUGUUUGGAUUAUUAUCGGAGGCUCUUGGACUCGAACCUGAGCACCUAAGAAACAUGGACUGUUCUGAAGGGCACCGUUUUUCCUGUCACUAUUAUCCAGCGUGCCCUGAACCAGAACUCACUCUGGGAACCGUAAAGCAUUCAGAUCUUGGAUUUCUCACCAUUCUUCUACAAAACCAAAUCGAUGGUCUCCAGAUUUUCUUCCAAAACCAAUGGGUCGAUGUCCAGCCCAUUCGUGGAGCACUUGUAACUAAUAUUGGGGAUCUUCUCCAGGUAUCCAUAGAUAUAUUGUUAUACUUUGAAACCAAAUAAUUCAGUAUUUCCCCACGAACACGAACCACCAUGAAUAUGUUUGUUUUCUGAUUUCGUUUUACCUGUUUGUUGGCUCAUUUUUACUGAAGAUUUUUCUCUAUUAAUUUUUGGCUUAAAGCUAGUAUCCAAUGGAAAAUUCAGAAGCAAUAAGCACAGAGUGGUUGCCAAUCGUCUUGGGCCAAGAAUUUCCAUAGCAUGCUUUUUCUCUGGUCCCAUAAACAUGGAUAAGGUUUUCUAUAGCCCCAUUAAAGAGUUGAUAACAGAAGAAAAUCCUCCCGUAUACAAAGAGGUCCUGCUGAGUGAUUACAUGACGAAGUUUUUCACUGUUGGACUUGACGAGAAUUUUCUUGUUAAUUAUUGCAAGGGAUGAAGAUGGCUAGUGAAGAGGCGUUGUUUCUUCACCUGCACUUGUGAAUGACUUGUUUUCAGACAGUUGGCUUGUGAAAAUUCCUGAGAAUGAAAGCAAUUUUAUGUAAUUAAAUAAACAAUAGAUAUUUGAAGUUUGUGUUGAAUAAAUGCAUGACAGUGUGUAUUGCUUCAUUUGCAACUCAAUAAUGUGUAAUUAAUAAUAAAUGAAGUUGAACAUUUGUUUGAUAUCAAGAAAGUCAAGAUUAUGUGGAUAUUUCAACGAACAGAAGGCAGAUUUCCAAUUAUUUGCUGGCCAAAUAUGAUUUUGAACUUUUUUUAUAACUCAAAUUUGUUAGAAACGAAACUAAGUUUGUAUUACAGACAAAAUGCGGUUAUAUUCUGUGUAAAUGAUAAGUAGGGUGGUUGGUUGCCAGCGGUGGUGGAGAGGUGGGUGAGAAGAAUAGCUAUUAUGACCAGUUCAUUGUAUGAUUUUGUGCCUAAUAAAUAUUUUGGGACAUGUUAAAUAUGUAAUUUGUGACUUAUUACCUAAUUGUAGGGAUGUCAAUUGGGCCGCCGGCUCGGCUCGUCAAACCUCGGCUCGUGGGUUGCUCAGGCUCGUCAAGUGAAGAGCCCGAGCUCGAGUCGAGCGGGGGGUCCCGUCCAACGAGCAGAGCUCGAGGAGCCCACGAGCCGGCUCGUUCAAAAAUGUGGAAAAAAAUAAAAUUUUAUCACGCUCGUGGGCCAAGCCCAGGAGCCGCUCGUCCAAAAAUGUGGAAAAAAAAUAAAAUUUUGUCAAUAAAAUUUGAAAAUUUUGCAAAAAAAAAAUAAAAAUAAAAAUAAUAAAAAAAAAUUCACGAGCUAGCGAGCCGCUCGUGGACUGAGCCGAGCUGGCUCGGCCCACUGCCUUCCCUACCUAAUUGUGACUCAUAAAUUUUAUUUUUAUGGCUAUGACUUUAUAUGAUUUAUGACUAAUAUGUGAUUUUGACCAUAAAUUUUGUUACUGUGGUCAUGACAUGUUUAAUUAAAGUAUAGGUCAUAACAUUUUAUCAGAGAUCAUAAAAUGUGACCAGUUGAUUUUUGAAAUUUUUCUACAAGGCCUAAGGAAUGUGAGGGGGGGGGGGUUUGAAUGUUUAGAUAAAGCUUUUGAAUUACGAGGAAUAGGUGGGUUUGAUACAAUGAAGUUGUUAGUUUGGAUCACAUUUCGACGAGGAACCCUAUAGGUGAGAAUAAUGCAAUGAGAAAAUAUAACUAAUACAAAUUUAAAUAUUCCUUUAAAUAAAGAAAUAGUCGUUUAAAAUUAUUAUUUUUAUCAUCAGAUCUUUAAAUAUCUUUUGUUGGGCAAAAACACGUAAACAAAGACUCCAUUUAAGCCGAGUCUCGUACAGUCUCUUCACAAAUUUUUCAAUUUAGAUUCACCAUAUGUGAACAUAUAUGUACCAAUCAUAACCAGAGAUCCACGUAAAUUCGUAAAUUAAGGUAUAGAAUAAUAAAUAAGGAAUUGAUAUUGGGUCUAAAUCAAGUGGGAGAUUGUAACUAUUAAGUCCUAAGAUCAAUUGUUGGUUGGACCUAAUAAUUACUAUUGAACUAAGAUUCAUUAAUUAGAUUAAUCUUUUAGGCAAAUAGAAUCUGUGAAAAUUUAUAUAUAUAGUCAAUCCAUAUUUAGAGUUUAAGACUUAUUAUUAUUCAAGUCAGCACAAGAGAUUUAGGUGAAAACCAUAAUUCUCUCCAAAUUGAACUGGCCAUCGUGAAUGGUUCGUGGUGUAAAAGUUCCAAUUUAUUCUCGUUGUGGGAAUUUUCGUUAACGGUUGUGUAUAUGGACAACUCUGGCAUGCUAAGAUCAUUGUAGAUCAAAUUUAGAAUAGUCUCAACUUAUGAAUCGUCAAAGUUACACGUUCUAUCACAUUCUAUCUGACCACAGAGUUGAUUGAACUUUUUGGAUAUUGAAUUUUUUUGAAUUCCAUUAUGCAUAUUUACAUAAAUACACGACUUCUCCCUACAUUCCUUUUCUCCAGCCAAAAUAUAAUAAUGUCAUAAUAGAAUUUAAUAUUAAUACAUACAACCAUAUGUGAAACGAAAAGUGUUAAUGAGGUUUACUCAAUGAACACUCGAAGGGUAACGGCUGCGGGUUCCAUCGUAAAAAAAUAAAUAAAAUAAAAUAAAAUAAUGAGGUGGUUCCAUGACGGAUAAUUAUUAGCAAUUAUUAAAUUUUAAAAAUCAAAAACAAUUUCUCAGAAGAAAAAGAUAAUUUUAUUCUCUACCUCACAUGACGUCUUCUAGAUAAAUCUCUAUAAAAUGUCCUAAUUGCACAUUGUAAAUGUGAAAAUUGAAAUAACCAAAACAAGAAAGUCAGCUGUUAUCGGGAGAUUUUUUUAAUUGGCCUAUUACAAUUUAUUUUCAUUAAAAAGUCUAUAUUACUAUUAAUGAAAUAAUUCUUCCUAUAUUGCACAAUAUAUCCCAAUCUUUUUGAACUAUGUUCUAUUUUGAAAUUUUGAAUAUAAAUCCAUUCUAUAAUCUAAUAAUUUGAAAUAAUCUGCAACAUAUUGUUCAUACUUUUAUUUAAUAUAUUAUAUAUUCUUUAGAAGAUAUAUCUAUAUUUUUUAAUUGAAAAUUAAUAUUUUUUAUUUCUUUUAACAUUCUUUCUAAUAAAUUAUCUAAUCCUUCAAUUAUAUAUCCUGACAUUCAACCAUACAAAAGAUCCCUACGAUUCUCUAAGAUCUUAAGAAGAUUCGUUCAAAUUUUAGCAAAAAUUAAUAGCCUUACCUUAGUUUUGAUCUGGAUCUUUUUCUUAGAACCGAGUAACCUUCGAGCUCUGAAUAUGUAAACUGCUUCCUUCAACGUCCUCGUGCCUUCACUGAAUUUUUACUAUUUCAGCUUCUUGCUCUCACUCUAUCAAUUCUAAAGAAUAAAUCUCUAGAUUUUGAUUAAAGAUACUCUCUUUUUGCUAAAAUAAGAAAUAAACUUUCUAUUAGAUCAUUCAAAGAUCUAUAAGAAUAAAGAUUUAGAAACUCAUAUUGAUAUCAAAAUAUUGAAAUUUUAUUUCUAUAAAAAUUUAUACAAGAUUUCUAUUUGGUACACAAGGAUUUCCAGAAAAAUUGGAUUUUCAAAUUGAGAAUGGCUUGAGAGUAGCUAUUGAUUAUAAUUCGAGAUUUCAAGAUGUGUCUAUCCUCCCAUAAUGCCUCUGUUUAUACAAACUUCUGAGGCUCUAUUAUUAAUUUAUUAACAUCAUUGCACACAUCAGAAAUUUGAAAAGGUGUACAUGCCUUUCAGUUAUUGUUCUUUUGGGAUCUACAUUUUCACUUGCAGCUUCAACUUUUUAUCCAAUGAGCAUUUUCCCUCUAUUAUUGUCUUCCUUUCUUUAUGUCUUCACAUGUAACUUUAUCAAAUGUGCUCUAUUAUUGUCCUCUUUUCUUUAUUUCUUCACAUGCAGCUGGGACAAUCUCUUAGCUGGCAAAAUUCUUUGAUAGUGGUAAAAUAUCCUGGAAAUUGAUGUAUGUCGAAUUUUGUAAUAUAGUCCUUUAAUAUUUCUGAUUUUCCAUGUCCUUCAUUUGAAACUAGCAUCCAAUUUUGAUAUUGAUACAAACAUGAGAAUUUUUUAUCAUACAAACUUUUAGCAAUAUUUUAUAUGACUUUGAUUCCAAGUGCGGUUCUAUGCCUGAUCCAUGACUUGGUCACAUUUGGAACUUUUUUAUAAUUUUUCGUAACGUCUAUUUUGAAAUUGGCUGCAACAUAUCCAAUUGAGAUUAUGUGGUCAACAGGAUAAAAAAAUAAUUCCAUCAUAUUCAGGACUUAUUGAAUAGAAUUUCAAAUAUAUUCUUCGUCCCUUGGCAAAUUUGGAUACUUAUUUUAUGAAUAUGUCAUCAAAUCUUGAAAUUUCAAUUAGAUCUUUUCCUGGAUAUAUAAAAUGCAGAAAUCCAUAAUCUACAAUAAUGUUUAUGAAUGAAAGGUCUCCUCCUUCCAUUGUAAUAUCCCGAGAAUUUUGGUAGAAUGGAAUUUAAUUUUUUUGUAUGCUAUAUUUUAAUGUUUUGAAAGUGUAGGGACUAAAGUAUAUGUAAAGUAAAUUUCAAUUUUAUUUGGGAUAAAAUGUAGAUAUUGACGGAAUGAUAAUAAGUAUAUGAAUAUUGGGCUCGUUAGAUAGAUCGUAAUUAAUCAUGCAUGUUAGGCUCGAGAAAAAAUUAAUUUGGAUUAGUGGAGCUCAAGUUAUCGAGGUUGAAAGAUAUGACUUUAAAUUAUAUUUAUUAACAACUUUGUUUUUAUCUCUAUCCACUCUAACUCCCUAGCUCCCACGUUUUCACAAGUAGAUAAAAAUGGUAACUGCAUGCUGAUUUUAUUAUGAUUAGUUUAAAAGGUAGUCAUGACUUAUUCAGCCUGUUUGGGAGGGAUUUUUUUACUUCAAAAUUUUGAUUUUUUGAUUGUUAUUUCACUAUUUCAGUCGUAAUUUUUGAUUUCUUCUCUCACAGGUGGACCCCACUUUUCUUCUAACGAUCAAAAAAUCAAUUCUCAAAAUCCUCCCAAACGGGGCCAUUAUCUAAGACCCCAACCAAAUUUCUUGUGGCACACGUUUUGAUUAUUCUAUCUACACCAAAAUUUAUCUCACACACACACACACACACACACACACACACACAUAUAUAUAUAUAUAUAUAUAUAUACACACACACACACGUUCAUGGUAGAUUCAAAAGGGGUAUUUAUUUCCAGCAUAAUUAAAGCACAUAAAGAAUCCAAUAAUUUCACCACAAAUAUAUAUACAUAAGCAGUCGACAGAAGACAGUCUCAUUUUUUACGGCAGCCAAGAAAAUUAGAAGAUUUGGAACGUAAUUUUGAAUUUCACCUUUCAACAAUUUAUUCAAUCUUACAAGGUAAGAUAUGAGGUGCAGUGUUUUUAUGUCCCGUUUAAUUUUAUUUUUUAACAUGUUGAUGAAUUUUGUACUCAUGCAUGUUGAAGUUAUAGAAUGAAAUGCUAUGAUAUGAAUGAUAUGGCCAUUUUGGUACAAUAAUAUAAUAUGAUAUGAUAUGAAUUCUUAUCGGAUUUUAAAGAUAUGAGACGGUAUGAUUUUCUGACACGUGUUUAAAAUUUUUAUACGGGAUUGCACCAUUAAUUUUUACAUACUACUGAGUAUUUCCAUGUACUCACCAUUUUCCUUACUCCUCCAGGUUAGAUCAGGUCGUGUUGGAGCGUAGUGGUUCGAUUGAGUGAUUGUGCCUCAUCUUGCUGGACAAAAAUCUAGAAUUUUAUCACAUAAUUUUAUUUAUUUGCCAUAAACAUUUGUUUUAAUGCUAAACUAUCGUUUAUGUUUAUUUGCUACAUGGAUAUUUUUAAAUUGUGCUAUUAUUUAAAAGUUUGAAUCGAAUUAUUUGAUUUUCCUUUAGUGGUAUCUUAUAUUAAUGAAAGCAAAUUUUAUUUAGAAUUAAUUAUAUAGGAUAAAAUGAAAUAGGUGCAUAUAUUCACUAUUUAAAAGUAAUUGGUUAUACUUUACUGCUUUAUUCGUGUGAAUAAGUAAUAAUAUUAAAUUGGUGAAGUUGAUGUCAUAUUUCUACUCACUAUAAAGGAAUAAAUAAAAUAUUCCUUAUUAUCAUUAUUUUAAAUUCAGUAAGAAAUAAAAACAUGGUUAGUUAAUAUUUGUGCAUACUAUUUCUAUUUUAUCUAUAGAGUUUUCAUAACAUUUAAGUAGUUGAUUAUUUUAAAAGAAAAUAUUCCAACAGUAUGAAAUUUACAAAUUUAGUGGCCAGAAAUCCUAUUUUAUUCAACUUCUAAGGAUGUGUCAAUUAGAAAUGUAAAUUUAUGAGCCAUAAGUGGUUUAAAAUAACAUUGACCUCUCUAUAAAUAAUUUUUGGGUAGCGAAUCGAAUUUAAAAUUUUUGGGUCGUUACAAUUUGUUAUCAGAGCAUAGGUUUAAUUUCCUGUAGACCCACGUGUAUUCUCAUAACUUGGUUUUAAAAAAAAUUGGGACGUGAACCGGUGAGCAAUGAUGGGUCACUAUUCAAACCGUGAACUGUUUAAAAUUUUUAAAAAAAAAUGUGAUUGGUUAAAUAGUUUAUGUGUCUAUGUACUUAUAGACUCUUUAGAAAUACUUAGAGUAAAUUUUAUGUUUAGCCACAAUAAUCACUAGAUUAUUAGUUACUAGAUUUUUCUCAAAUGGGUGAAAUUUUAUAAUAGUCCAUGCACUAAUAUAUGAUAUUUUCUAGUAGCUAAAAUUUCGAUGUAAUUCCCCAUGUGAAAAAAUAAUAAUAAUAAUAAUAAAUAAAUAACAACAACAACAACAACAACAACAACAAUAAUAAUAAUAAUAAUAAUAAUAAUAAUAAUAAUAAUAAUAAUAAUAAUAAUAAUAAUAAUAAAUGCUAAAUAAAUAAAUUUUGAUGAUAUAUAUAAACAUUGGAUUUUACACGUUUUAAAUGUUAUGUGUAAUAAAAUGUUUAUUUGUUUCAUUGCGUAAUAUUUGUUAAAGGUUAAUAUUUUUUUUGAAGAUUUAUGAAUUUUCGAUAAUGAUAAUUUAAAGUUAUUAAAUAUGUGAAUGAUCUUCAGCACUCAACGACCACCAAUCGACCACCCUUCGAUGACACUAAGGUAUGUAAAGGGGUAAGAAGAUGAAUGUACUUAGGCAUUUUACAUGAUUUAAUAUUUUAAAUUGCAUAUCUUUAAAUUUUUUAAGGGUUAUUUUUUCAUUAAAUUUAUGAAAUGCGUACGAUAAAAUAAGUAUAACUUGUUAUACUUAGUACUGGAAUGUGACUAGUAACUUCAAAUUAAAUUUUAGGAAAUGGCACCACAUAUUCGCAUCAGCUUGAUGCGCGAUUUACUACGAGCGGUACAAAAAUUAAGCAAACAGAGCCAAGCACUGUCGCCACAGAAUGCACCGCCAUAGCAAAAUGGACCUCCAUUUGUCUCUGGGAGCCGCCUCAGUGGUUAAGCAAUUUCGUAGGUACAAGCCUCCAACUUUCGAUGGUGGUUCCGACCCACUAGCUGUUGAGGAGUGGAUUAGAGGUCUGGAGCGCAUCUUUCGACACGUCGCUUGUACGGAUGCACAAAAAGUGCUAUGCGUAGAAUUUAUGUUUGUUGGAGCAGCUAGUCACUGGUGGGAAUCUGUCUCACGCACUAGGACGGAAGAGUAGCAACAUACCUUGACUUGGAAGCAGUUUAAGGAUGAAGUGAUGGCAAAAUAUUUCCAAAGCUUUGAGAGAUUUCAAGGAAUCAGAGUUUCUACAGCUUAGACAGAGAGACAUGUCACUUACUGAUUAUAAAAGCCAGUUUGAGCAGCUCUCAAGAUAUGUCACGCACUUAGUGGACACUAAAGUUAAGAAGAUUAGGAGGUUCAAAAAUGGACUGCGCCCAGAGAUCGACAUGAUCAUUAUGUCUCAUCGUUUCACCUCAUAUCAUGAGAUGUUGGAAAGAGCCCAUGCUAUUUAAUAUUAGAUGGCCACAAUUGGACAGUAUGCCCAGCACGACAAGUAGUCGUUGGAAAAAAGAAAGUGGAGUGAUCAGAAGAAGAACAAACAUAACUGGCAAAAUAAAAAGCCAAGCAUAGGAGUUCGUAUUGGUGUGACGAGUGGGAGUAUUACACCCUAUCCUAAGUGUAAUAAACUCCACAGAGGUGAAUGUUUACUUGGGAAGAACAUGUGCUUUCGGUGUGGUAAGUUGGGACAUAUUGCUCUCAACUGCACAGAGCCUUCAAAGAAAAAGGAUGAUGAUCAAGACAAGAAUAAGAAAGCAAAGGCUUGAGUUUUAGCACUGAAUCAGCAUGAGGCGGAGCAGGAUCCGAAUGUGAUACCAGGUAUAUUAUUAUUAAUAUAUCUAAUGUAACCGCUUACGUUCUUUUACCUAGAACUACAUAUUAUUUGAUCUCUGUCCCUUGGUUGCUGGUCUAACACUAUAAUUACGAAAACAGGUAUUCUAUUAUUAUCUGAUGUACCUGCUUACAUACUUUUUGACUCAGGGGCUACAAGUUCUUUUAUCUUUGCAUCCUUCAUCGCUAGGUCAAACUUUGCAUGUGUGAAAAUGAAUUAUGAAUUAGAGGUUAGCAUCCCUUCAGGAAGAACUCUUUGUACAAAUCGGAUGCCUAGGGCUAUGAAGUUAGACAUUGAUGGGAAAAUAUUACAAGCAGACCUAUACCUUUUGGAGAUGAAAGAUUUUGAUGUUAUUUUGGGCAUAGAUUGGUUGGGACUUAAUCACGCGACCAUUCGAUGUCACGAGAAAGAAGUAUUGUUUCACAGACCGGGUGAGAAAGAAUUCCAUUUUUUUGGAGCAAAGUUCAAGUCUUUGCCUUGUCUUGUAUCAUCUAUUUAAGUGGAAAAGAUGUUGAAAAAGGAGUCAUGUCAAGGAUUUCUAAUCAAUAUCACCCAGUCCCCAACAUACAGAAACAAUUGUUAACGAUAUUAACAUUGUGCGAGAUUUUGUAGACAUAUUCCUAGAUGAUUUACCAGGCAUUCCACAAGAUAGACAAGUGGAAUUCACAAUUGAUUUGGUUCCUGGAGCAGCACCAGUAUCCAAGGCCCCAUACCGAAUUGCACCUAAAAAACUUCAAGAAUUGAAGUUGCAAUUAGAGGAGUUGUUGGAGAAAGGUUUCAUUUCGACCAAGUAUAUCUUCUUGGAGAGCUCCUGUACUUUUUGUCAAGAAGAAUGAUGGGAGUAUAAGAAUGUGCAUUGACUAUCGAGAAUUGAAUAAUUUGACCAUCAAAAGUAAGUACCCGUUGCCAAGAAUAGAAGAUUUAUUUGACCAGUUAAGGGGUGCUACAGUGUUUUCAAAGAUCGACUUGAGGUCAAGGUAUCAUCAGCUGAAAAUCAGAGCAAGCGAUAUACCAAAAACUGCUUUCAGGACUCAUUAUGGACACUAUGAAUUCAAUGUCAUGCCUUUUGGUUUGACCAAUACUCCAGCUGUAUUUAUAGAUCUCAUGAAUAGAGUGUUUCAUCAAUACUUAGACCAAUUCGUCAUAGUAUUUAUUGACGACAUACUCGUGUACUCCAAAGACAAGAAACAUCAUGAGGAAUAACUCCGAGUAGUACUUGAAACCUUGAGGAAGGAGAAAAUAUAUGCCAAAUUCAAGAAGUACGAAUUUUGGCUUGAUUGUAUAGGUUUCCUUGGUCAUUUGGUUACCGUCCAAGAAAUCAAAAUAGAUCCUGCUAAAGUAGAAGCAGUAACAAAUUGGCCAAGGCCGAGCAGUGUGGGUGAAGUCCGCAGUUUCUUAGCAUUGGCUGGUUAUUAUAGAAGACUCAUUGAAAGCUUCUCAAAAAUAGCAGGGCUGAUGACUCAGUUCACGAGAAAUGGUGUGAAGUUUCAGUGGACAGAAAAAUAUGAAAAAUGUUUUCAAGAACUCAAGCAGAGACUAGUUUCAGCUCCUGUAUUGACAAUACCAGAUGGCUCUGAUGGAUUUGUGAUUUACAACGAUGCCUCCAAAUAGGGUUUAGGCUGUGUACUGAUGCAGCAUGGAAAAGUGGUUGCUUACGCCUCGAGACAGUUGAAGCAGUAUGAGUACAACUAUCCAACGCACGACUUUGAGCUUGCAGUAGUAGUUCAUGCCUUAAAGAUAUGGCAUCAUUAUCUCUAUGGUGGGAAAUGUGAAAUUUAUACAGACCACAAGAGUCUCAAAUUCUUUUUCACAUAGAAGGAACUCAAUAUGAGAAAGAGGAGAUGGUUGGAGUUAGUGAAAGUUUAUGACUACACAAUUCAUUACCAUCCGGGUAAGGCUAAUGUAGUCGCAUAUGCCUUAAGCAGAAAAACCGGAUCGCAGUUAGCAACUUUGCCCACAGUACAAGAAAUUUGAUAAAAGACUUUGAGAAACUAAGAUUGGAAGUCAUCACACCGUCAACUCAAACUACAACAAGAAUAAGAGCAUUUAUGAUUCGACCCACUCUUCGGGAUUGCAUUAAGGAGGCACAGGAUAAGGAUCCAUUUUUGCAGAAGAUUAAGGCUGAGAUUGGUACCAACAAAUGUAUAGGAUUUGAAGUAUCUGCAGAUAAAGCAUUUACUUUUAAAGGAAUAUUGUGUGUACCUAAGGAUGAGGGUAUAAGAAAUGAGAUAUUGGAAGAGACUCACUCCACCCCAUAUGCGGCACAUCCAGGCGAUACAGAAAUGUAUCAAGAUCUUUGAGAUACAUUUUGGUGGAGAAACAUGAAGAGAGGAAUUGGUCUAUUCGUGGAGAAAUGUAUGGUCUGUCAGUAGGUUAAUGUAGAACAUCAAAGGCCAUCAGGACUGUUGAAACCAUUAGAUAUUCCAGAAUGGAAAUGGGAACACUUAACAAUGGACUUUGUUGUAGGCCUCUCGAGGUCAGCAAAAGGUCACAAUGCUAUCUGGGUAGUGGUGGAUCGUCUGACGAAGUCAACCUAUUUUCUGCCAAUCAAAGUAAAUUACAACAUGGAACAGCUCGCAUAGUUAUACAUCAAAGAGAUAGUCAGAUUGCAUAGAGUUCCAGUCACUAUUGUUUUAGAUAGAGACCGAAGAUUCAUAUCUAAAUUUUGGAAAAGUUUGCAGACAGCCAUGGGGACGAAAAUGAAGUUUAGCACUGUAUAUCAUCCUCAGAUGGAUGGACAAUCAUAAAGAACCAUCCAAACUCUAGAAGAUAUGUUGAGGGCAUGUAUUUUAGAUCUUGGUGGUAGUUGGGAGACACACCUACCUUUAGGGGAGUUUCGUUAUAGCAAUAGUUUCCAGGCCACUAUAUGUUUGGCCCCAUAUGAAACUCUUUAUGGUAGGAAGUUCAGAUCUCCUAUCUACUGGGAUAAGGUCGAAGAUAAUAGAAUUUUGGGUACUGAAAUCAUUUAACGAACAGUUGAAGCAGUUGAUAAGAUUAGAGCAAGAAUAAAGGCAGCGCAAGAUCGACAGAAAAGUUAUGCUGAUGGUAGAAGAAAGAAUUUAGAAUUUCAAGUAGGCGCUAAGGUUUUUCUAAAGGUAGCAUCAAUGAAGGGUGUACUGAGAUUUGGAAAGAAAGGAAAGUUGAGACCGCGAUUCAUUGGACCUUUCGAAAUUCUUGAAAGGAUUGGUAGUUUGGCUUACAGACUUGCCUUAUCGCCUAAACUUGCAGCAGUGCAUAAUGUGUUCCAUGGUCUAAUGCUCAGAAAAUAUGUCUAUGAUCUUAAUCACGUGGUAAGUUAUCAAGCCUUGGAGGUACAAAAAGAUCUAUCAUAUGAAGAAAUCUCAACAAUGAUUUUAGAUAGUACAUUAACUCAAAAACAAAGAAAUUUCUCUGGUCAAAGUACAAUGGUGAAAUCAUGGACGAGACGAGUCAACAUGGGGAGAAGGAAGAGGAGCUUAGAAUCAAGUAUACAGAGCUCUUUGAUUAACCAAGGAAAAUUUUCGAGGACGAAAAUAUUUUAAGGAGAGGAGAUUGUAAUAUCCCAAAAUAUCAUAGAAUAGAAUUUAAUUCUUGUAUGCUAUAUUUUAAUGUUUUGAAAGUUUAGGGAUUAAAGUGCAUAUAAAGUAAAUUUUAAUUUCAAUUGGGUUAAAUUGUAGAUAUUCAUGAAGUGAUAAUAAGUAUAUGAAUAUUGGGCUCGUUGGAUAGAUCGUAAUUAAAGAUGCAUUUUAGGCUCAAGAAAAAGUUAAUUUGGAUUAGCGGAGCCCAAAUUAUCGAGGUUGAAAGGUAUAGCAUUAAAUUAUAAUUUAAUUAAUUAUUAAUGAAUAUAAAUUUUCCCUCAAGUUACGUGAAUGGAGGAAGAUUCUUGGGUAGGUUAUGAUUGAUUUUCUUCAUUCAAAUAAAGAUAUAAAAAAAAGGAAAAAGAAAAGAGAGAGAGAAAGGAAGUCACGUGGGUGGUCAAGCAAAACUAGAAUGUGCCACCACGUGUUGGUUUUUUAGUGGUUUACUUGUUGACAAGAUUUGGUUAAAUUUUGAUUUCCAAUAUUUUAUCCAUAAGUCCUUUUUAAAUCUCACACGUCUCCCGAUACCAACUCUUGGAUAAUUUAUGAAUAUAGUUACACCACAUGAUAGAAGAUACAUAAAAAUAUAUGCAUAAGCAAAGAGGCAGGAAAAAAUAAAAAGAAAAAGGAAGAAUUGUAGGAACGUGAAUUUGGAGUUUGUCUUUCAAAAACUGAUUUAUUUCACGAUGUAGGAUAUGAAGUGAAGUGUUUUUAUGUCCUGUUUAAUUAUUUUUUUCAUGUUGAUGAAUUUGUGUACUCACGAAAGUUAAAUAUGAAAUGAUAUGAUAUCAAUGACAUGACCAUUCCGGUAUAAUGAUAUGAUAUGAUGUGAGCUCCUAUCGGAUUUAAAGAUAUGAGACGGUAUGAAAUUCUGACAUGUGUUCAAAAUUUUUAUACAGGGUCACACGAUUAAUUUUUAUAUCCUACUGAGUAUUUCCAUGUACUCACCCUUUUUCCUACUCCUCACAGGUUAGAUCAGGUCUUUGUUCGGUAGGCGAUGAGGUGCAGUCGUUGAACCAAGAUUUAUGGGACUAAAUAAAAUAAUCCAGUGUAACGUGCCUUAAAUUCUAAAUUUUAGCAGCAACCUUAGAUUAUUUAUUUAUUUAUUGAGCUUGUUCAUUAAAUUUUAAAUAUGGGACUUAGUUUUGUUUGGACACGAAAUUUCAAAUGAUGAUUUGAAAUUUUAAUUUCGUUGGGGUAUUUUUGUGUUUUCCUUGUUAUCCAAAUUUGGCAUAAAUAAUUAUGUUAAGUGGAGAUUGGAACAUGGAGCAACUUUCGAAAUUGAUUUACAAUUACCAUACAUGUCUAAUAAAUGCAAUGUACUAUAAUGAUUUAAAAUGGGUGAAUCUUGAUGCCAUCUACCACCUGCUAAAGAAAGAGAAAAUAUAUUAUGCUUUAUGUGUAUAUAAAUGUUUCUAAUUUUCUACAUAGGUGCACGUGAAUUUAUAGAGACAGUCAAAUGGAAACUAUUAUACAUGUGUAAAAUAAUUAUGCCUCUAAGUCUUACUUUACAGAUUAAUUCUACGUGAUCUUUCCAAACUUAUACGUUUAAGAUAUAGCGUAAGAAAGUACUGUUUAUUUCCAUUUGGGAAUUAAUACAUAAAUUAUUUUCUACAAAUUAGAGUAAAUUACCAUUUCAAAAUCUUGAUAAUGAUUCAAAUCAAAAAAAUUUGGGUCGUUAUACACAUGGGUCUAUAGGAAAUUAAACCUAUGCUCUAAUAGCAAACUAUAAUGACCCAAAAAUUUUAAACAGUGAAUACAUGCACAUAUUUCGUUUUAUUCUAUAUAAUUAAUUCUAAAUAAAAUUUGCUUUUAUUAAUAUAAGAUACCAUUAAAGGAAAAUCAUAUAAUUCGAUUCAAACUUUUAAGUAACAACACAAUUUAAAAAUAUCCAUGUAACAAAUAAACAUAAACGAUAACUUAGCGUUAAAACAAAUGUCUAUGGCAAAUAAAUAAAAUUAGGUGAUGAAAUUCUAGAUUUUUGUCCAGCAAGAUGAGGCACAACUGCUCAAUCGAACCACUAUGCUCCGACACGACUCGAUCUAACCUAUGAAGAGUAAGAAAAAUGGUGAGUACAUGGAAAUACUCAGUAGGAUGUAAAAAAUUAAUGGUGCGAUCCCGUAUAAAAAUUUUAAACACGUGUCAGAAAAUCAUAUCGUCUCAUAUCUUUAAAAUCCGGUAAGAGCUCAUAUCAUAUCAUAUCAUUGUACCGGAAGGACCAUAAUAAAGUAGGCAUGUAGUUACCAUUUCUAUCUACAAGUGAAAAUGUGGGAGCUAGGAAGUUAGAGUGGAUAAAGAUAAAAACAAAGUUGGCUUUUUUUAACCACUAGUCACAUGGCUCUCCCAUAACUCUCUCUCUCUCUCUCUCUCUCUCUCUCUUCUUUUCUCUUAUAUAUAUAUACACACACACCAAGAAUCUUUCCCCAUUCACACUUGAGGGAAAAUUUAAAUUCAUUAAAUAAUCAAUUAAAUAUAAUUUAAAGCUAUAUCUUUCAACUUUAAUAACUUGGGCUCCGCUAAUCCAAAUUAACUUUUUCUCGAGCCUAACAUGCAUAAUUAAUUACAAUCUAUCUAAUGAGCCCAAUAUUCAUAUAUUUAUUAUCACUCCGUCAAUAUCUACAUUUUAUCCCAAAUGAAAUUGAAAUUUACUUUACAUAUACUUUAGUCCCUACACUUUCAAAACAUUAAAAUAUAGCAUACAAAAAAAAAUUAAAUUCCAUUCUACCAAAAUUCCAUUACAACAUCCUCUCCUUAAAAUAUUUUCGUCCUCGAAAAUUUACCUUAGUUAAUCGAAGAGUUCUGGAUACUUGGUUCUAAGCUCCCUUCCUUCUCUCAUGUUGACUCGUCUCGUCCAUGAUUUCACCAUUGCACUUUGACCAGGGCAACUUCUCUAUUUCUGAGUUGAUGUACUUUUCUAUCCAAAAUCAUUGUUGGGAUUUCUUCAUAUGAUAGAUCUUUUUGUACCUCCAAGGCUUGGUAACUUACCACGUGAUUGGGAUCAUGGACAUAUUUUUUGAGCAUCGAAACAUGGAACUCAUUAUGCUACUGCAAGUUCAUGUGUCAAGGCAAGUCAAUAAGCCACAACACCAAUCCUUUCAAGGAUCUCAAAAGGUCCAAUGAACCGUGGUCUCAACUUCCCUUUCUUUCCAAAUCUCAAUACACCAUUCAUUGGUACGACCUUUAGAAAAACGCCGUCGUCUACUUGAAAUUCUAAAUAUUUUCUUCUACUGUCAGCAUAACUUUUCUGACCCAGAAAGUUAUUCAAGAAAACAAUCUUUAUUCUAAAAUUAUAAAAAAAUGGAUAUGGCUCAGGGACGAAAGGAUUCGAACCUCUGAAUGGACUAAAAGAAUGCUUAGAAUUCUUAUUUAUUUUCUUUCAUUUUCCUAAUUGCGCUGCCUUUAUUCUUGCUUUGAUUUUAUCCACUGCAUCAGCUGUUCGUUCAAUGAUUUCAGGACCCAAAAUUCUGUUCUCCCCGACCUCAUCCCAAUGGAUAGGGGAUCUGCACUUUCUACCAUAAAGAGCGUCAUAUGGGGCCAUACCUAUAGUGGCCUGAAAAUUAUUGUUGUAAGCAAACUCCACUAAAGGUAGGUGUGUUUCCUAACUACCACAAGAUCUCAAAUACAUGCCCUCAACAUAUCUUCCAGAGUUUGGAUGGUUCUUUCUUAUUGUCCAUCCAUCUAAGGAUGGUUAGCAGUACUAAACUUUAAUUUCAUCCCCCUAGCAACCUGCAAACUAUUCCAAAAUUUUGACGUGAACCUCGAGUCUCUAUCUGAAACAAUGGUGACAGGAACUCUAUGCAAUUUAACUAUUUUCCUAAUGUAUAAUUGUACAAACUGUUCCAUAUUGAAAUUUACUUUGAUUGGCAGAAAAUGGGCUAAUUUCGUCAAAGGAUCAACCACUACCCAAAUAGCAUUGUGACCUUUUGCUUAUUUCGGAAGACCUAUUACGAAGUCCAUGGCUAUGUGUUCCCAUUUCCAUUCUGGAAUAUCCAAUGGUUUCAACAAUCCGGAUGGCCUUUGAUGUUUUACCUUAACGUACUAACAGACCAUACAUUUCUUCACGAAUAGACCAAUUCCUCUUUUCAUGUUUCUCCAUCAAAAUGUAUCUCGAAGAUCUCGAUACAUUUUUGUACUGCCUGGAUGUGCCGCAUACGGAGUGAGCUUAUUCCAAUAUCUCAUUUCUUAUACUCUCAUCUUUAGGUACACACAAUCUUCCUUUAAAAGUCAAUGCUUUAACUACAGAUACUUCAAUUCUUAUACGCUUGUUUGUACCAAUCUCUUAAUCUUUUGUAAAAAUGGAUCCUUAUCCUCUGCUUUCUUAAUUCAAUCCCGAAGAGUGGGUCAAAUAAUAAUUGCUCUUAUUCUUGCUGUAGUCUGAGUUGGCAAUGUGAUGACAUCCAAUCUUAGUUUCUCAAAGUCCUUUAUCAAGUAUUCCUGCACCGUGGAUAAAACUGCUAACUACGAUCCUGUCUUUCUACUUAAGGCAUCUACGACUACAUUAGCCUUACCCGGAUGAUAAUGAAUUGUGCAGUCAUAAUCUUUCACUAACUCCAACCAUCUUCUCUGUCUCAUAUUGAGUUCCUUCUGUGUGAAAAAGUAUUUGAGACUCUUGUAAUCUAUAUAAAUUUCACAAUUUCCACCAUAGAGAUAAUGACGCCAUAUCUUUAAGGCGUGAACUACUGCUGCAAGCUCCAAGUCGUGCGUGGAUAGUUUUGCUCAUACUGCUUCAACUGUCUCGAGGUGUAAGCAACCACUUUUCCAUGCUACAUCAGUACAUAGUCUAAACCCUGUUUAGAGGUAUCGCUGUAAAUCACAAAUCCAUCAGAGCCAUCUGCUAUUGUCAAUGCAGGAGCUGAAACUAGUCUCUGCUUGAGUUAUUAAAAACAUUUUUCAUAUUUUUCUGUCCACUGAAACUUCACACCCUUUCUCGUGAAUUAAGUCAUCGACCCUGCUAUUUUUGAGAAGCUUUCAAUGAAUCUUCUAUGAUAACCAGCCAAUCCCAAGAAACUGCGGACUUCACCCACACUACUCGGCCAUGGCCAAUUUGUUACUGCUUCUACUUUGACAGAAUCUACUUUAAUUCCUUGGACAGUAACCAAAUGACCAAGGAAACCUACACGAUCAAGCCAAAAUUUGCACUUCUUGAAUUUGGAAUAUAAUUUCUCCUUCCUCAAGGUUUCAAGUACUAUUCGGAGUUGUUUCUCAUGUUGUUUCUUGUCUUUGGAGUACACGAGUAUGUCGUCAAUAAAUACAAUGAAGAAUUGGUCUAAGUAUUGAUGAAACGCUCUGUUCAUGAGAUCCAUAGAUACAGCUAGAGCAUUGGUCAAACCAAAAGGCAUGACAGUGAAUUCAUAGUGUCCAUAACGAGUCUUGGAAGCAAUUUUUGGUAUAUCGCUUGCCCUAAUUUUCAGCUAAUGAUACCCUGACCUCAAGUCGAUCUUUGAAAACAUGUAGCACUCCUUAACUGGUCAAAUAAAUCUUCUAUUCUUGGCAACGGGUACUUAUUUUUGAUGGUCAAAUGGUUCAAUUCAAGAUAGUCAAUGCACAUUUCAUACUCUCAUCCUUCUUCUUGACAAAAAGUACAGAAGCUCCCCAAGAAGAUACACUUAGUCGAAUGAAACAUUUCUCCAACAACUCUUCUAAUUGCAACUUCAAUUUUUGAAGUUCUUUCGGUGUCAUUCAGUACGGGGCCUUCGAUACUGGUGCUGCCUCAGGAACCAAAUCAAUUGUAAAUUCCACUUGUCUAUCUUGUGGAAUGCCUGGUAAAUCUUCUAGGAAUACGUCUGCAAAAUCUUGCACAAUGCUAAUAUCGUUAACAAUCCUUUCUGUAUGUUGGGGAUUGGUGAUAUUAACUAGAAAUCCUUGACAUGACUCCUUUUUCAACAUUUUUUUCGCUUGAAUAGCUGAUACAAGAUAAGGCAAAGACUUGAACUUUGCUCCAAAAAAAUGGAAUUCUUCCUCUCCCGAUCUGUGAAACAAUACUUUUUUCUCGUGACAUCAAAUGGCCACGUGAUUAAGUCCCAACCAAUCCAUGCCCAAAAUAACAUCGAAAUCUUUCAUCUCCAAAAGGUAUAAGUUUGCUUGUAAUAUUUUCCCAUCAAUCUCUAACUUCAUUGCCCUAGUUAUUCGAUUUGUACAAAGAGUUCUUCCUGGAGGGAUGCUAACCUCUAAUUCAUAAUUCAUUUUCACACAUACAAAGUUUGACCUAGUGACGUACGAUUCAAAGAUAAAAGAAUUUGUAGCCCUAGAGUCAAAAAGUAUGUAAGCAGGUACAUCAGAUAAUAAUAGAAUACCUAUUUUCGUAAUUAUAGUGUUAGACCAGCAACCAAAGGAUAGAGAUCGAAUAAUGUGUAGUUCUAGGUAAAAUAACAUAAGCGAUUACAUUAAAUAUAUUAAUAACAAUAUACCUGGUAUCACAUUCGGAUCCUACUCCGCCUCAUGCUGAUUCAGUGCAAAAACUCGAGCCUUUGCUUUCUUAUUCUUGUCUUGAUCAUCAUCCUUCUUCUUUGGAGGCUCUUUGCAAUUGAGAGAAAUAUGUCCUGGCUUACCACACCAGAAACACAUGUUCUUCCCAAGUAAACAUUGAGUUUAUUAUACUUAGGAUAGGGUGUAAUACUCCCAACUCGUCCCACCAAUAUGAACUCAUAUGCUUGGCCUUUUAUUUUAUCAGUUACAUUUGUUCUUGUUCUGAUCACUCCACUUUCUUUUUCCCAACGACUCCUUGCUUUGCUUGGCAUACUGUCCAAUUGUGGUUCUCUGAUAGGAAAUAGCAUGGGCUCUCUCCAACAUCUCACGAUAUGAGGUGAAAUGAUGGGACAUAAUGAUCAUGCCGAUCUCUGGGCGCAGCCCAUUUUUGAACCUCCUAAUCUCCUUAACCUCAGUAUCCACUAAGUGCGGGGCAUAUCUUAAGAGCUGGUCAAACUGCCUUUCGUAAUCAAUAAGUGACAUGUCUCCCUACCUAAGCUGUAGAAACUCUGAUUCCUUGAAGUUUCUUAAAGCCUGUGGGAAAUGUUUUGCCAUCACUUCAUCCUUAAACUGCUUCCAAGUCAAGUUACGUUGUUGCUCUUCCUUCCUAGUGCAUGUCACAGAUUCCCACCAGUGACUAGCUGCUCCAACAAACAUAAAUUCCACACCUAGUACUUUCGAUGCAUCCGUAGAAGCGAUGUGUCGAAAGAUGCAUUCUAGACCUCUAAUUCACUCCUCAACAGCCAAUGGGUCGAAUCCACCAUUGAAAGUCAGAGACUUGUACCUACGAAAUUGCUAAACAACUGAGACGGCUCCCAGAACAAAUGGAGGUGCAUUUUGCUGUGGCGGUGCAUUCUAAGGCGGCGGUGCUUGGCUCUGUCUGCUCAGUUCCUGUACUGCUCGUAGUAAAUCGCGCAUCAAGUUCGCGUGAGUAGGUGGUGCCAUUUCCUAAAAUUUAAUUUGAAGUUACUAGUCACAUUCCAGUACUAAGUCUAACAAGUUAUACUUAUUUUAUCGUAUGCAUAUGAUAAAUUUAACGAGAAAAUAACCCUAAAAAAAUUUAAAGAUAUGUAAUUUAAAAUAUUAAAUCAUGUAAAAUGUCUAAGUACAUUCAUAUUCUGACCCCUUUACGUACCAUGGGGUCGUCGGAGGAUGGCCAAUUGGUGGUCGUUGAGUGUCGAAGAUCAUUCACAUAUUUAAUAACUUUAAAUUGUCAUUAUUGUAAAUUCAUAAAUCUUCAGAAAAAUAUUAACCCUUAACAAAUAUUACGCAAUAAAACAAAUAAACAUUUUAUUACACGUUUCAAAUAUAUAUAUCAUCAAAAUUUAUUUAUUUAGUAUUUAUUAUUAUUAUUAUUAUUGUUAUUUAUUUAUUUAUUUAUUAUUAUUUUAUUUUUUUUACCUGGGGACUUACAUUGAGAUUUUAGCUACUAGAAAAUAUCAUAUACCAGUACAUGGACUAUUAAAAAAUUUCACCAAUUUGAGAAAAAUCUAGUAACCCGGGUCUCUAUACCCAAACCAUUAGCUUACGUACUGUCCGUUUUGAGUGGGCCUUGCGCCUACUUAUCCCUCACAGCUUUCUAUCUCAUCCCUAGGAUUCAUACUCAUAAUCAUUCCCUUAAGUAAGACUUAAGUUGAAUCUUGGUACCAAUUGAGCACCCAUUUACCCAUCACGACUUUUUGUCACGUCCCCAGGAUUCGUACUCGUAACCUUUCACUUAAGUAAGAUUUAAGUUGAAUCCUGGUACCAAUUGGGCAAGGGGAUGCAAUAAAAAGCCGUGAGGGGUAAGUAGGCGCAAGGCCCACCCAAAAUGGACAGUACGUAAGCUAACAGUUUGAGUACAGAGACACAGGUUGUUACAUCCGUGGCUGUUACUCUAGGAUAAACAUUAUUUUCUAGAAAGAUGAAAUAUGAAUCACUUAUUUUUAUUUCAUGAACGAUUCUGACUAUUUUGGCACAUUCUUAUUCUUUUGGAUCUAAAGGGAUCAUAUCAUCUUCGUCUUGGUAUAUGAUACUAAUAGUUUUGGAAUCUUUUUUAUCUCCACGUAUCACCACUGUUUUGGUUGGUGUUGAAUCUCUUUUUUUAUCAAUUGGUAUGGUGUCACAUCUGGGUCCACUGCUGCUUCCAGCUGCCCAUAUUUGGUAUUGAUUUGGAAAACUUAUUUCUGAGCUCUUUGGUAUAUCUGUCGCAGACAUUAUAUCUUUUAGUUGUGCUGCAAUAGCAUCAACUUGAUUUUUGAGUUCUAUGGUCUCUUUAUGAUGCUCAUUAGUGAUAUUCAAUAAUAUUUUUAUAUUUAAGUUGAACAUCUCUGAGAUCUGUGUUGCUCCAGUAUUUAUGUUUUCAAAUUCUUCUUUAAGAAAAUUUGUCAUUUUUGUAUAUGUAGGAUAGAUUAGUAUAGAUCCAUGACCCUGGCUUUAUCCAUCAUCAAAUUCUAUAUUUCUGUUGAGAAAAUCUACAAGAAAAUUAUUAACUCUUUAAUAUGAACUAUAUCAAAAUUAUAGAAUACUAAAUAAGUUUGCCAUUUAUGAAGCUUUCUGUAUUGAGGUUUUGAUGGUAGUUUAUUCUUGACUAAUCCUGUAACUUGAGAAUUAUCGGUUUCAACAGUAAAUUUCUUGGAUAACAAGAAUAAUGAAAUUUUUUUUAUUCCUCUAAUAAUUGCUAGUAAUUCUUUUUCAUAAGUGGUAUAAUUUAUUUUUACUUGAUUAAAAGUUUCACUUGAAUAUCUACAAAUCUCAUUUAAAUCUGUCUUUAAUAUUGCUACCCAAUAUUUAUCUGAGGCAUCAAUGUUAACAAUUAAAUUAUUUUUUUAUCUGGUAAUCUUAAUUUUAGUAAAUUUUUACAUUCUUCUUUUAAUGAUUUAAUUAUUUCUGUAUAUUUUUCAUUCCAUCCUUCAGUAUUUGUUUUUCUUAGCAAAAUUUGUAUUUUAUUUCUUUUCUUAGAGAGAUUUUCAAUAAAUCUUUCAGUAUAGUUUAAACAUCCUAAGAAUUUUUGUAUUUGUUUUUUGGAUUCUAAUUUAUCUGAAAAACUUUCUAUCUUUUUAGAUAUAUGAGUCUAUAAUUUUAUUCCUCUUUUAUCUAUUGAUAAUCCAAGAAAAUCUAUUUCUUGUUUUUCUAUUAUAGAUUUCUUUUUAGAAAGUACAAUUCCUUCAUUUUUACAUUCAUUUAUGAAUUGGAUUAAAUGAUUUCUAUGUUCUUCUUUACUAUUAGAACAUAUUAGUAUGUCAUCUAUAUAAACAAUUAGAAAUUCAUUUAACUUUUUAAAUAUAUUAUCCAUUUUUUUGAUAUAUUUGUGGUGCAUUUUUUAAUCCAAAUGACAUUAUUAAACAUUCAUAUUUUCCUUGAGGUGUGUUAAAUGCAGUAUCUUGUACACUAUUUUUUUCCAUUUUUUUUAUUUGCCAAAAUCCUGAUUUACAGUUAAAUUUAGAAUAUUAUUGUUUUCCUUUUGCAAAGUUUAUUAAAACUUCCUUAUUUGGUAAAAAAUAUCCAUAAAAUUUUGUAUAUUUAUUUAAUUCUUUAUAAUUUAUAACCAUUCUAAAUUUUCCUCUAACCUGUUCAAAAUGUUUCAUAACCAUAAAGAUUGGAUGAGGUCUAUUACUUGGUCUAAUAAGUUUCUAUUCUAACAAUUCUUUUAUCUGAUUUUUGAAUUCUUGUGUAUCGUUUAUAGUAUACAUCAUUGGUCUAACUCUUAUUAUAAUAUUUUCUGUUAAUUCUAUUUUGACUUUAGGGUGAUGUGGUUUCCAAAAUAAUAAUGAAUUUUCUCCAUAAACUUUUUCUAAUUGUUCAAUAAUUAUUUCUAUACUUAUUUCUAUUCUCGUUUUCAGAACUUUUUUAUACAAUAUUCUUUUAUUUUUUAUUUAAUUAAAUAUACUUGGUUUUUUCUCCCAUUUAUCACCACGCUGGGUUGGCUAAACUCUAUAAGGUCUAAAUUCUCUUGGAAUUUUUAAUAAGUGUAAGCAAGGUGUUUGUAACAUUAUCAUAUAAUUAUUUUGUUUAUGAUAUUGAAAUUAUUGUAUAAAGUCAUUUCCUAACAAUAUAUCACAUUCUAAUUUAUCAUAUUUAUAUAUUUUAUUUAUUAUAACUUGUUUACUUUCAAGAAUUAUAUUAAUUUUAUUGACACUAUUAAUUAUUUGAGUGCUUUCUCCUGUGACUCCAGUUAUUUUUAUAUUGCCAUUAUUAUUCCAUGAUUUUAUUAGAAAACUUUUAAAUAGUGUUAUAUCACUUCCUGUGUCUAUUAAACCACAAGUUGUUAUGUUUGUUUCUACAAUAGUAACUUGUAUAUAUAUAGCUAAUGGAAAACUUAUCUAAUUGUUCAUUUAGUUCUUUUUACAAAAAAUAGUUUUUCCAUUAUUUACUAUAUAUAAUCCUUCUCUUUUUAUACUAUAAUCGUCUAAUCCAUUUAACAAAAAACUCAUUCUUAGAAGUAUAUGAGGAUUUAUAUCCAUACUUUUGUCUAUAUAACGUGGUAUUAAAAUGUUUAUUCCUCCUAUUUUUAUUGGUACUUUAAGCUCUAAUUCUGAAAAAUGUAUUUGUCCAUCAAAAUUUACAUAUCUAUAUGGAUCAGUUUUAUGAGUUAUUAAUCCUUUAUUUUUUAUUGAAGUUAUAUGACAUUCACUAAUUCAUGUAUUUAUUAAUAUAUUUGGUCCAUUUAUAUAUUCUUUUCCAUUAUAAUAUUCUUCUUCUAUUUUCAUAAUUACAGCAUUUCUGUAAAGUUUUAUCUCUCUCUUAUAUUACUAAAUUCUUCUUAUUGAUUUUUGUUAGGUAUUCUAAGACUUUUUGAUCUUUUAAUUAACUUUCCAUCCUUAGAUGUUAUAGUAUUAGAACAUUCUUCUUCAUUUAAUUCUGUUAUUUCAGGUUUACUUCUUAUUAUACUAAAUUCAUAUUCUUCCGAAAUUAAACUUAUUUGUUUAUUUGGUUCUAUUAUUUUGCUAAUAUCAUUACAUUCUUUAUGUACUUCAAUAUAUGGUUUAUUGGAAUAAAGACUUCCAUAAUUAGAAUUGGUAAAUGUAUAUAAAGCUCUAUAUUCUAUAAUUAUAAUUUGAUCACCUGGUUGCAAGAUAUCUUCUCUAUGCAGCUUAAAAUGCAAUCUUAAAAUUUCAUUAAAGUUUCUAUCUUUCAAUGAUACACAAGAUUUUGGGUAGCAUGUAACAUUAUUUUUUGAUAUGCCAAAUUUCCUUCUAUUGUUCCUAAAUGAUUAUAUUUUAGAUUUAUUAUUCUUCCAUCAUGUAAGACUAUAAUUAAGGGUAAGUCUAUCCCUUCUCUGAAUAAUGAAUUAAACAUUAUUUGUUUUCCUACUAGAUAAACAUAUUGAAUUUUUUCACUUUGUUUUUUACCGACCUUUGUUAAUAGUUCUUCAACUGUAUUUUUUGUUAAAAGAUUUAAUUUAUGAUUUUCAUAUGUUGUUUUUACAUCCAUAGUUUUCUCAAUUUUUUUAUAUUCAUUUAUUGCUAUCAUUUCUCUUUUCCAAAUUCUGUCUAAAACUUUUCAUUUUCCUAUUUUUAAAUCUAAGGAUAAUUUUUGCAUUUUCUUAAAUUUAUUAUUAUCAAAGGUUACCUUUAAUCCAUAACCUUCUAUUAUUUCAUAUUUUUGUAUAUUUAUAUUAUUAUUUUCUAUUUCCUCUAUUUCUUUAUUCAGAUUCUGAUUCAUCAUUCUCUGUUUCACUUAUAUAUACUUCUUGAUUAUAAUAUUGUUCAAUACCCGAUAUUUCACUUAAUUCAUCUUUUAUUUCUUUUUAUAAUAUUUUAACUUUCUUUUUAUUACAGUCGGGGCUUAUAUAACAUAUUUCCCUACAAUUCCAACAUUUAUAUUGGCUUUUAUUUUUUUUAUAAUUUUUAUUUUUCUGUUGACCAUAUGAAAUAUUUUUUCUUUUAUAAUAUCUUUUUCUAUGUUUUAUAUAUUUUUUAUUAAAAUUUAUAAAUUUUUUAAACUUUUUAUUUUUAUAUUUUCUUUUGUUAACCAUUUUUUCAGGAUUACAUCCUCGUUGUAUAAGGUUUUUCAUAACUUCACAAUAUAUUCUAGUUACUUUUUCUGAUUUUUUCAAUAAUUGUCUUUGUUGACAUAUAUAUGCAAGUCUUUCAAAUAAAAAUUUUAUUCUUAAAUCUAAAGUUCUAUGUAUUUCAAUAUUAUCUCGACAUAUUUUUCAAAUUCUAUUUAAAAAUAUAUUCUCUAUAAAUCUGGUAAGUUAUUAUAGUACAUAUCUUGGUAUACUUCUUGAUUUUCAUUCUAUAAAAUUGAGUAUAAUAAUAAUUUCUGAAUUCACAAGUAUAUUCUUUAAUUUUAUACAUAUCACAUAUUGUUAAAUUUAUUAAUUUAAUCCUAGCAUUGUUUUUUUCUCUUAUUGUUUCUCCUUCAGCAUUUCUUAUCCAAUUUUUCCUUGAAAAUUCAUCUGGAAUAUAUUCUACUAACUUUUAUAUACCUUGUCUAUCUGAUUUUAUUAUUUCUGUUUGUACAUUUCUUUUUAUUAAUGUUUUUGUAUCAUUAUUUAUUAAUUCCCACUAGUUUCUAACAUCUCUUUCAAAUGAUACUAUUAAGAAAUAUAUUCUUCUUUCAGUACUUUUUCACGUGUCAUCUUUAUUAAAUAAAAAGAAUAAUAUCAUUGAAUCUGCUCAAGUUAAUAAGGAUUUUUUAGUAUCUAUUUUACAAUUUAAAUCUAAUUUUGUUCGUUCAUGGUUAAUAGGUUUAUCAUAAUUAUCAUUUAAUUCAAACGUGUCUCUAUAUUUAUUUCCUUUAGGUGGUUGUUUAUCUCUUACUUUAUCAUGAAUUUUUCUAUAUGAUUUAUUAUAUAUAGGUGCAUAACUUUUAUCUGAUUCUUGCAAUUUUUAUUUAAAGGUCCCUAUUGGAUUAGGUUCUCUUCCAGCAUUCAUUAAAGCUUGAUAAUCACUUAUAUCACUUAAACUUAAUUGAUCAAAAUUUUCUAUAAGUAAAUCUAAUUUCUGAUUCAUCUUUAUUUUCUUGAUUUUCUUCUAUUUUUAAUUUUCCUAACAUUUUUUCUCUAGAUUCUACUUCUUUUAAUAUUCUUUCUAAAUUCAUCAUCCAUAUUUUCUAUUUUUAUUACUAUAUUUUCUUUUUCAAUAUGUUUCUUUCUUAUUCGGGUCAUUUCUUUUUCUAUAAAUUGUUUUAUCUAUUUUCUUUUCUUUAUUUUUAUUAUUUUCUUUUAAUUCUCUAAUUUCAAUUUUUAAUAUAUUUAUAUCAUUUAUUGUUUCUUUUACUUCAUUUCUUAAAUCUUAAACAUCAUUUAUCAACAUUUUUAUUAAUGAUUUUAAUUCUUCCAUAUAUUAACUAUUGACAUUUUAAUCUUUCUUAAUCAUCUUUCUAACAUAUAAGUUAAUUUACAUCUUUUAUCUUCUUUUCCUUCUAUUAUUUUUUCAAAACUUUCUUUAGCAAACUCUUUAUUUACUAGUUCUUCUUUUAUUAUCUUAAAGCAUUUACUCUGUAUUUUUUAUUUUUCACACUUUAAUUUUAUUAACUAUUUUUCUUUUACUUUUGUUCCAUCUGAUAUUAAUAUUAUAUCUUGCAUUUUUUCUUGUAUCUUAUUAAUAUUUGCAAUUAAUUUAUUCAACUUUAAAUCCGUAUUAUCAUAUACACUCAUACUUUUCUUUAUAAUAUAUAUAUUAAUUUCUUCAUCAUCACAUACUUUAAUCAUUUUUUCAUGGAUAUGUAUAUCUUUUAUUGAUCCUAUUAUUAAUUUUUCUAAUAUUUGUUUUUUUUAUUUCUUUGGCUAAUUCUUUGACUAUUGUUAGUGUCAUUAUUUUUAAUUUAUUAGGAAUAUAACUUCCUUUUUUUUUCUAAAUGCCAAUAAUUAUUUAUUUUACUUAUUUUAAUUUUCAUGAUCUCUAUGGCUUUGAUACCAAUUAGGAGGCUACUUUGAGUGAACAAAAAUUAAAUAAAUCUACAGAUCUACUAAAAUCUUAAACUCUACGAUUAGAGGCUAAAUUCUUUAAUAUUUUUAAGGACUUGAAUGGAAAAUUUCUAUAAAAUAAAGACUUAUGUAUAAUAUUUAUAUAAGGGUAUUUUAGGUACUUGAAUUAGUUAAAGGCUAAAAUGAAGAAGUAGCCUUCUUCUUUAGGCUAUUUUAAUAUAUUUCCUGCUGUUCUCAUCAGCUCAUGAAUUUUAAUUUCAAGUUGCUGAACUAAGUUAUCUAUCUUAUUUUCAAUUGAACAUUUAAUGCAUGUUUUAUAAUUUCAAGAAUUAUAAUUCAAAGAAGGCAAGGACGGAUCCAGGGUCGGAUCCAAGAUCGGGUUACAAAAUUUCAAAUCGAGCUACUACGCUGGGAAAAAAAAUUUACGCAUAAAAAAUUGAUUUUCUACCAAAAAAAAAAACACCUUAAAAAUUGUUAUUGGGCAUGCGGGGGGGACUACAGCCCAACCCAGCCCCUCCCCCUCCUGCCCCCCAAAUCAAUCUCUAAAAGAAGGUAUAUUAUAUUAUCUCGUUUCCAUUAAGAAAUUUCCACCUUUUACGAUAAAGUAAAAUGUACGAAGAAGUCGAAAUAAUUUACAUGUGAAGUUACGUCAAAUGAUAAAAUCAAUAAACUGCGUUUCAUAUUUAUUUAUUUACUUUGGUUCAUUAUUUUGCUCACAUCACAGAGAAAUGAUUCUCACUUUGUAGGCACUAUUCUUUUUUUUCCUUUUUUUUUAUCAAGGUGUCCGUCUUCGACGACUAUUCCUUGGGUCUGUGAUCCGGCCCCUCUUCACACAGACCAGUUAAACCGCGGGAUGUUGUAGACACCAUUCUUUUCUGCAUCGUGUCUUGAGAUAAGAUAAAUUUUUAAUAAAUAUCUUUUGUAAGUUGAGAUAUAAAAUUUCAACAAGUUAAAAAUUGAGACAAUUGUUACUAAUAUUUUAAACGAGAUAAUGGACAUUAUGAAAAUAACAUUCACAAGAACACGAGAUUUACGUGAAAAUUCAAGACGGGAAAAAUCACAGACAGAAAUGAAGAAUUCACUAAUUAAAAGUAAGGAUUAUAAUAUGUUAUACUAGAUCUCACAAUACUCUCUCCUUAUCUCUCUAUCUGUGAGUCAAUUUGGAUCCACCUGGGUCACUUUUUGAGCCGAUCAAAUAAAUAUAUAUUAUACGCCAUAUAUUUAUAAUACAAAAAUUCAUAACAUACUAGAAGAAUUAAUACAAACAAAAAUCUAACACAAAGAGAAGUCCUAAUACAAUAGGUAAAAUCAAUAGCGAAGUGUUCGACGUUGAAUAUGAGUCCAAAAACUGUCAAAAUCAUGAAAUCUUCUUCUUAUUCGUCUUGGACUCCUCCAAAACAUCUUCAAGUCAUACUACCAACUCCAUAUUAAAUUUUCAAUAAAAUUGGGAUCACGCACAAAUUAUAAUAAAUCUUGACCUUGACACGAAUUCCAUUGCAAAGAAUGAAGUUCUAAAAAUUCUCCACUUGGAAUCAAAUUUCGCUGCAAGGAAUAAAACUUAAAAACAAAACAAUUCACCAAGUUACUCUACCUCUUCCACAAAGCCCAACUAAGGCAAACUCAGUAAAUGCUGACUGAAUCCAAGCAUUGCUUAUAUGUAAGAUUACGUUGAAUACCAAUUUUCUCGAAUUAUCAUUACGAGCAACUUGAUCACAACCAAUUCCAUUUGAAGCGAACAAAUCAGCCUCACCGAAGAUCUCCUGAUACCUAAUACAUAUUUUCUUCAAUUUAGUGAUAGUUGAAUCAAAUGUGAUCAUCGAACCUUCCAAAACAUAUAACUGAGACCUUCUCUACCCUUUUAUCAAAAUUCGAUCGUUACUUGGCUUAUUCUCCAUCGUCCAAACAAAAAUUUGCCAUAAGGAAAAGCUAGUCUUGCGAUCCAAAAGCGAAAUAUCAAACUUUAUACUUGUUAUCCUAGAGCUAUCAAACCUCAUUCUAAGUCCAUCAAACCUUGCUCUAAUACAUAACCAAACCGGUUCUCCUAGGAGCUAUUGAUCCUUACUCUGACAUCACUUGUUAGAAAAUGAGCCAAUUAUUAUGAAUAUUAAAGACGAAAUAAUGGGCAAGAUGAAAAUAACAAUCACAAGAACGUAUGAUUUGUGUUGAGACCCAAAACACGAAAUAUCACGAGCAGGGACAAAGAAUUCACUAAUUAAAAAUAAAGAGUUCCAAUAUAUUAUACUGAAUCGCUCAAGAUUCUCUCAUGAUUUCUCUAUCUACGAGUCAAUCUGAUCCACCUGGAUCACUCUCUAAGUAGGUCAAAUAAAUGUGUAAUAUGCCACAUAUUUAUAAGAAUCACUGACAUACUAGGAAAAUUAAUACAAACAAGAGUCUAUGGUAAAAUCUUAUUACAUUAAAUAAAAUCAAUAAUGGAGUGUUCGAGGGUUAAGUUCAAAAUCGCGAAACCUUCUCCUUAUCCAUCUUGUAUUCCUUCAAGGCUUAUUCAAGUCAUACUACAAACUCCCGGUGGAUCUCCCAAUUAAAUUUUUAAUAGAAUUUGUGUCACAGCCAAAUUGUUACCCAACGUCUAUAUAUUAAAAGUUGCUACCUUCUUGAUAUAUAACUCAACAAUCUUAUAGUGGCCAUCCACCCAUAAAUUUGCAUCUUAUAGCUGGAGUCAUGGACACCUCAGGUGCUCAAGAAUACGACAGAUUGCAAGAAUUGAAGACUUCUGAUGAAACAAAAGCUGGUGUAAAGGGAUUAGUUGAUUCAGGAUUGCAAAAAAUUCCCAAGAUUUUUGUAAGACCGGCUGAAGAACUGGCUAAAGAUUUGAAUUACAAGAGGGCUCAAAUUGAAGCUCCUGUGAUUGAUUUGGGUGAUCUGGAGAAAACCCAUAGGCAUAAACAGAUUGUAGAAGAAGUAAGGAUUGCAUCAGAAACAUGGGGAUUUUUCCAAGUGGUGAAUCAUGGGAUUUCCGUAGAUGUGCUCAAUGAAAUGCUUGAUGCAAUACAGAAAUUUAAUAGCAGGAUGUUGAGGAGAAAAAGAAAUACUACACGCGGGAUAAUACGAGAAGGGUGAGAUUUAACAGCAAUUUUGAUUUGUUCACAUCAAGGACUUCUAGCUGGAGAGACACAUUGGCUAUUUCAUUUUCAGAUCCUGAUCAAAUUAAUUCUGAUGACUUGCCAGAUUUAUGUAGGUAUGUACUCAAAGUUUAGCCCGUGUUUGGUUAGCAGUACUCGAUAUUUGAUUAAAGUUUAGAUUCUUUUUUCUCAAUCCGGUUUCUUAUUAUACAAUACACCUUGUCAAACAUGCCAUUAAUUCACAGAAAGUCAGUUAUAGAGUACUCAAAACUCGUCAAUAACUUGGGAAAUAUUCUGUUUGGAUUACUAUCAGAGGCUCUUGGACACGAACCUGAGCACCUAAGAAACAUGGACUGUUCUGAAGGGCACCGUCUUUCUUGUCACUACUAUCUAGCGUGCCCUGAAUCAGAACUCACUCUAGGAACCGCAAAGCAUUCAGAUCCUGGAUUUCUCACCAUUCUUCUACAAAACCAAAUCGACAGUCUCCAGAUUUUCUUCCAAAACCAGUGGGUUGAUGUCCAGCCCAUUCCUGGAGCAUUUGUAAUUAAUAUUGGGGAUCUUCUCCAGGUAUACAUAUAUGGAUAUAUUGUUAUACUUUGAAACCAAAAUAAUUCAGUAUUUCCCCACGAACACGAACCACCAUGAAUCUGUUUGUUUUCUGAUUUCGUUUUACCUGAUUGUUGGCUCAUUUUUACUGAAGAUUUUUCUCUACUAAUUUUUGGCUUAAAGUUGGUAUCCGAUGGAAAAUUCACAAGCAAUAAGCACAGAGUGGUUGCCAAUCGUCUUGGGCCAAGAAUUUCCAUAGCAUGCUUUUUCUCUGGUCCUAUACACAUGGAUAAGAUUUUCUAUGGCCCCAUUAAAGAGUUGAUAUCGGAAGAAAAUCCUCCCGAAUACAAAGAGGUCUUGUUGAGUGAUUAUAUAAUGAAAUUUAUCACUACUGGACUAGACGAGAAUUUUCUUGUUAAUUAUUUCAAGGGAUGAAUAUGGCAUUGAAGAGGCGUUGUUACGUCACUUGCACUUGUGAAUGGCAUGUUUUCAGAGAGUUAGCUUGUGAAAAUUCCUGAGAACUAAAGCAAUUUUAUGUAAUUAAAUAAACAAUAGCUACUUGAAGUUUGUGUUGAAUAAAUGCAUGGCAGUGUGUAUUGCUUCGUUUGCAGCUCAAUAAUGUGUAAUUAAUAAUAAAUGAAGUUGAACAUUUGUUUGAUUUCAAGAAAGUCAAGAUUAUGUGGAUAUUUCAACGAACAGAAGGCAGUUUUCCAAUUAUUUGCUGGCCAAUUAAGAUUUUGAACUUCUGUCAUAACUCAAAUUUGUUAGAAACGAAACUUAGUUUGUUAUUACAGACAAAAUGUGGUUAUAUUCUGUGUAAACAAUAAGUAGGGUGGUUGGUGGAGAGGUGAGUGAGAAGAAUAGCUAUUAUGACCAGUUCAUUGUACGAUUUUGACACGACCCGUCCCAAAUCACCCCAGUGGACUCGAAACAUGACAUACGCCGAUGAUAGAUGCUAACUAGAUAUCAAAUCUAUCAUCAAAGCAGACUAUGAGUUAUUUCUAAAAAUGCAACAAAAUCAAAUGCUUGUGUAAAACAUAAUGCAAUUGGCCCAAAUUAUUUACUUUGUGCUUCUUCAAAAUGAGUUAUAACACUCAACAUGUCGUGUGGCUCUCAUUCCGAAAUCAUUAGGCUCUUCCUGCUAAAAAGAAUUAAUUUUCACCUGUCGGAAAUUACGGAAAAAUAUAUGAAUUGAUAGUUGAGUGAGUGGAGAAAUUUGAAAAUAAUUAUACUUUUCCAUUUUUACAUUUUUAUCGAAAUCGAGGUCAUAUCAUUGACAACUCGCAAAAUAACAUGAUAUAGUUAUAGCCAAAAGUGAAACAUUUACAUAAGGUCGUAAAAUAUCAUCUCAAAUCAUGAUAUAAACAUAAGCUCGUAAUCAUGCUAUAAUCUCAUCACAUCAAAUGUACUACAAAAUUCACCAAAAAUGUACCCUCUGAUUAAAAUCUGUAAUCCGCCUUUCAAGCUAAGAACUUUUGCCAAAGGCCCCUCCGUGAAUGAAAGUCGGUCUCAAAGACCUCUAAUAAUCAAUUCUAGAACACAGCCAAAGCCCCUUAGUGAACUAUAUGUACACGGUUGAGGCCCCUUCAUCCCCGGUCCAAGACCCCUUAGUGUAGUAUAGAAUACGACUAAGGUCUCUCAGUGAACUAGAAGAAAUACAUAAUCACGGGUACUUUUCAGGUCGAUCUCAAUAUCACGUCUCACAUACCAAAGAAAUCUCAAUAUCACAUGUCUCAUAUACCAAAUUAUAAAUGUACAAUAAAUAAUCCUUGAAAUUUCAUAUGUAUCAUAAUAAAAGAGAUUUCUAUGAUAAUCAUGUAAUUCGAACACAUAAUUUCAUAUAAUUGUACAUAUUUUAAGAAUAUACUUAAUUUAUAAAUACUUUAAAAAUAUUUAUAUUUUUCCACUCACAGUACUAUGUUUGCAAAAUCAAUCUGGUUGGUAAGCUAUUCUGAUAUUAAUAUCGUCGCCUGAAAUACGAUAUAAUUUUUAAAUAAACAAUUAAUUAUUUUAAAUAAUUUCAAUAAUUAAAUAGGCAAUACCCAAACUUAAUUAUUUUACGUUUAAGCGAUUUCUAAAGUCUCUUUAAUCACUAAAACUAAUUUUUCUUUCAUCUUACCCAAUUUCAUAGUUUAUUAUGCUUAAUUCCUUCAAUAAAAUUGAAUUUAAUCUAACAAUCUAACAACUAUAAAAUCAAACACAACUUGACAAUAAGUACUUUUUACUUACUUUGCAAAAUUGAGGAAUUCAAGCUUAAUAAUGUAGAUCACUUAAUUCCUAACACGUUGGCAAAAAAUUUCUAUUUUUUUCCUUCUUCUUCCCCCCCCCCCCNNNNNNNNNNNNNNNNNNNNNNNNNNNNNNNNNNNNNNNNNNNNNNNNNNNNNNNNNNNNNNNNNNNNNNNNNNNNUUUUAAAAAGUAUGGCAUGAUAUGUUUGACUCUCUUUUAUUUAUAUACAUAUUUUAUAUUUAAGUUAUUACAAAACUCACCUCCUUCAAAAAAAUUCGUCCUCAAAAUUCAGUUGGCUAAGAUUUGCAGAUAUAAAUAUGUGGAGAACACAUUUGAUUAUCACUUGCCCUAAUGCUUCUUCUAUUGAAUGAUUUCUCCCACGAACUUUUAGUCCCAAGAUUUAAUAUUCCUAUCAUACUUUUAAUAACUUCCUACGAGCCAAUAUAUGACAUUUUCAUCCUUUUUUUCUCUUUUUUUUUUCUAAAACAUAAGGAAAACUCAAUUAUUUUUCCAAUUGGAAGUUCAAAAUACUGUUUUUCAUGUUCUCCAAAUCUUCACCUUACGUGCUAAUUUAAAAUAUUCUCUAAUCACAUUCUUUUUCUAUAACAAUGGUUACAUAUUAAGAUCGAACAACAAUCUUUCACCCAUUUCAUCGUACGUCCUUAGAAUAUCUCAAUAUUAUAUAUAACCUCAAUUACCGUCACUUGUGUCUAGUUCUUAUAGGUCAAUUCCAUGAAAAAUAGAUAAUUAUCCAAGUCCUCUUUAAUUAACAAGUUAGUUGAUAGCCUCUCUUUUAAACGGGUCUUCAUAAUGUCUGAUAUUCUAUCAAAAGAAAAUGGAAAGUGAAAUUUAAUUAUAUAACUUCUUACAACUAACCAAAGAUAAAUACUCCAAUUCCACCACGAAAUUAACAAUAUUAUCUAAAUAUAAUUUUAUAAGUCUAUCCUAUGAAUUGACUAUAUCAUUUAAAAAGAAUCUUGUAACAUUUAUCAAUCUAUCCACAAUGAUUUAAAUAUUAUUUUGUCUCCCUUUCAUAUAUUUGGAAUCCCCAAACAAAAAUAUUUGAGGGUAACUGCCUUCAUUCUAUACUGACAAUAUCUCCAAAAAUUCCAUUAUUCACGAUUUUCUAAAAUUCUAGUUAUCCCCAAUAAAAAAAUUGAGCUAGUUCAAUAUGGUGUGCUUUUCUUUUAAUUCUAUAUCACCCAAUGAUAAUAUAUACACAAUUUUCAUUUCCACCAUUUCGAAUAAAAUAUACCUUAAAGUUUGAUGAUUGAUAACUAUUGACAUUUCUCGCAAUGUGAUGACGAAAUCCCAAUAUAACCAAUUCCAAAUCAUGUUUUAAUCAUGCCUCUUCAACAAUCUACAGUAUCAUCCAUAAUUUAUAAGUUUACUUCAGAAUACUUUCUAAACCUUAACAUAAAUCAUUAUCAUGAAUCAAUCACUUAUCAUCUUUAGAUAUAAGAGCAAAUAUUUUCUCAAAAUUUCCUGAUAGUAAAACUUUCGACAUUGCUAUACCCAUGCAAAUUUUUUUCUUUCUUUCUAUAAAGAGACAACAAUAACAUUUAAUUCAUGAUAAUCUAUACUCUUAUUCCAUAAAUAGAUCAUUGAUCCAUCGUCAAUGCAUAAUCCUUCUUGUAUAUCGCAUAAAGACCUUUAGUUAAGAUAAUGUAACCUAAAGAUACUAUUUCACAAUGAGAAAAAAUCUAUAUUUAAUGAUUAUCUUAAACUUUAGAAAUAGUCAACAUGUCCUACUUAUAUUCCUUAACAAAUAUAUUUUGAUAAAAAUGGAAUACUUUGUUCAUAAUCCAUAUAAUUGAAAAUAGCCCAAAAAAUUAUAUCACUAAAAUUUCAAUAAAUUCAUCUUAAAUUCAAAAUUUAACUCAAUGCAUCUAAAUUGUAUGGUAUAUAACACAAUAAUUCAACGAAUGGCCUUAACAAAAUUAAUUAACUUGAUAACCCAAAUUUAUAAUCACAUUAUUUUGCUAUAGGACAACCAUUAUAUUCAUUUACAUGCUAUUCACCAUAUCAUGUUAUGAUCAUGUAACUUUGGCAUUUAUCGUCAUAUCGUAUGACCUAAAACAUUUAAUUAUAUCAAUUUUUCUUAAUAUCACAAGAUGAUAACCUUCAUAUUUAUGAACUGAACAUUUCACACCUCAAUAUACCGCAUGUUAAUUUCCCAAUCUCAACAAAUUUCGAUUCUACCAUUCUCUAUUUUUUUUUCCACAUAAACAUACCUAAAUACACAUAUCCAUUUAAUUCUAUUUUUAAAGCAACAAAUCACCCCAUAAUAGGUAAUCAUUAUGAAAUUGAUCCCUAUUAUUCUCACAUUCCUUUUAAUCCAACCACUCAUAAAUAAUCGAAAUAAUUGAAAUUACCGUUAAUUUCCUCAAUGCCUAAAAUACACCAUCACACAUUGUCAUCUAUCAAUCAACAAAUCAUCAUUUUGUCUUCCACAAUUUCUUAUCAUAUAGUAUAAAUAUACACCAUUAUGAUUUCUAUUAUCAUCCCAUAUAAGUGGCCACAAAUCACCACAAAAUUUUUAUAACACUAAUGACCAUUUGGCUCCAAAAUAAUUAAAAUUCCACGCUGAUUGUAAAAUCUAUAACUUAGGAUGCCUAGCAAAAUCAUCAAAAUCUAUUCAAAUCUUACUAGGUUACAUACACACAUAGUUCCAACCCAACAAGCAAUAACAUUUACAACCAUAAUAUCAUUGCAACUACCAUACAUACUAGUCUUUGCUGGAUCUGUUAAAAAUAUCUUUCUAUCAUUUUUGGUUCUAUGCAUUUGAGCUAGAGAGCCUGUGAUUUCUGCCACCACGACAUGUGAUCAUAUCCACUGAACAUGCAUGAACCAUAAAAAUUUUUGAAGCCAUGCUCUAAUACCACUUUGACACGACAUGUCUCGUCUUGCAUCACCCUAGUGGACCCGAAACGUGACGUGCAUCAAUGACAGAUGCUGACUAGAUGUCAAAUCUAUCAUCAAGGCUAACUAUGAGUUAUUUCAAAAAAUGCAACAAAAUCAAAUGCUUAUGUAAAACAUAAUGCGAUGGGCCCAAAUUAUUUACUUUGUGCUUCUUCAAAAUGAGUUAUAACACUCAACAUGUCAUGUGGCUCUUAUUCCGAAAUCAUUAGGCUCUUCCGGCUAAAAAAAAACAAUUUUCACCUGUAGGAAAAUCACAGAAAAUAUAUGAGUUGAUAGCUCAAUGAGUGGAAAAGUUCGAAAAUAAUUAUACUUUUCCAUUUUUACAUUUUUAUCGAAAAUCGAGUUCAUAUCAUUGAUAACUCGCAAGAUAACAUCAUAUAAUUAUAGCCAAAUGUGAAACAUUCACAUAAGGUGGUAAAAUAUCAUCUCAAGUCAUGAUAUUAAUAUAAGCUAGUAAUCAUGCUAUAAUCUCAUCACAUCAAAUGUACUACAAAAUUCACCAAAAAUGUACCCUCUGAUUAAAAUCUGUAAUCCGCCCUCGGGCUAAGAACUUUCGCCACGGGCCUUUGGCCCCUCCAUGAACGAAAGUCGGUCUCAAAGACAUCUAAUAAUCAAUUCUUGAACACAGCCAAGAUCCCUUAGUGAAGUAUAUGUACACGGUCGAGACCUCUUCAUCCCCGAUCCAAGACCCCUCAGUGUAGUAUAGAACACGGCCAAGGUCCCUCAGUGAACUAGAAGAAAUAAAUAAUCACGGGUACUUUUCUAGUCGAUCUCAAUAUUACGUCUCACAUACCAAACAAAUCUCAAUAUCACAUGUUUCAUAUACCAAGUCACAAAUGUACAAUAAAUAAUCCUUGAAAUUCCACACGUAUCAUAAUAAAAGAGAUUUCUAUAAUAAUCAUGUAAUUCGAACACAUAAUUGCAUAUAAUUGUACACAUUUUAACAAUAUACUUAAUUUAUAAAUAUUUUAAAAAUAUUUAUAUUUUUCCACUCACAGUACUAUAUUUGCAAAAUCAAUCUGGUUGGUAAGCUGUUCUGAUAUUAGUAUCGUCGCUUGAAAUACGAUAUAAUUUUUAAAUAAAUAAUUAAUUAUUUUAAAUAAUUUCAAUAAUUAAAUAUGCAAUACAUAAACUUAAUCAUUUCAUGUUUAAGCGAUUUCUAAAGUCUCUUUAAUCACUAAAACUAAUUUUUCUUUCAUCUUACUCAAUUUCAUAAUUUAUGAUACUUAAUCCCUUCAAUAAAAUUGAAUUUAAUCAAACAAUCUAACAACUAUAAAAUCAAACACUACUUGACAAUAACUUCUUACUUACUUUUCAAAAUUGAGAAAUUAAAGCCUAAUAAUGUAGACCACUUAAUUCCUAACACGUUGGCAAAAAAUUUCUAUUUUUUUUCCUUCUUCUUCUUCCCUUUUUUUUUUCCUCUCUUUUCUCUCCUCUCUUUCCUUUUUUUUUUUCCUUUCUUUCUCUCCAUUUUCGUUCUCUGGUUCCUGUAUAUUAGAAAAUGGGUUUUGAUUGUAUGGUCAAUCCAAUUCCACCGCCUAACCUUAUAUAUAUAUAUGACUCUCUUUUAUAUAUAUACAUAUUUUAUAUUUAAGGUAUUACAGAUUUUGUGCCUAGUAAAUAAUUUGGGACAUGUUAAAUCUGUAGUUUGUGACUUAAUACCUAAUUGCGACCCAUAAAUUGUGUUUUUAUGACUGUUAUGACAAAUAUGUGACCGUGACUAUAAAUUAUUAUUUUUAUUGUGAUCACGACAUGUUUAAUUAAAAUAUAUGUCAUAACAUUUUAUUAAAGAUCACAAAAUGUGACCAUCUAAUUUUUGAAAUUUUUCUAUGAGGACUAAGGAAUGUGUGGGGUUUGAAUGUAUAGAUAAGGGUUUUGAAUGUACGAGGACUAGGUGGGUCUGAUACAAGAAAGUUGUUAGUUAGGAUCACAUUUCGACGAGGAACCCUAUAGGUGAGAGUAAUGCAAUGAGAAAAUAUAACUAAUGCAAAUUUAAAUAUUCCUUUAAAUAAAGAAAUAAUUGUUUAAAAUUAUCAUUUUUAUCAUCCGAUCUUUAAAUAUCUUUUGUUGGGCAAAAACACGUAUACAAAGACUCUAUUUAAGCUGAGUCUCGUAUGGUCUCUUCACAAAUUUUUCAAUUUAGAUUCACCAUAUCUGAACAUAUCUGUACCAAUUAUAACCAGAGAUCCAUGUAAAUUAAGGUAUAGAAUAAUAAAUAAGGAAUUGAUAUUGGGUCUAAAUCAAGUGAGAGAUUGUAACUAUUAAGUCCUAAGCUCAAUUGUUGGUGGGACUUAAUAAAUACUAUUGAACUAUGAUUCAUUAAUUAGAUUAAUCUUUUAGGCAAAUAGAAUCUGUGAAAAUUUAUAUGUAUAGUCAAUCAAUAUUUAGAGUUUAAGACUUAUUAUUAUUCAAGUUAGCACAAGAGAUUUAGGUGAAAACCAUAAUUCUCUCCAAAUUGAACUAGCGAUCAUGAAUUGUUCGUGGUGUAAAAGUUCCAAUUUUCGUAGUGGGAAUUUUCGUUAAAGGUUGUGUAUAUGGACAACUCUGGCAUGCUAAGAUCAUUGUAGAUCAGAUUUAGAAUAGUCUCAACUUAUGAAUAGUUGUUCGCGAAAUAUUUUCUUACGAUUUUAAACUACCGCAAGUGUACGGUUCGUUAACAAGUAAUAAAGUGGAUUAAAUGAGUUCGAAUAUCUUCCCACAGAGAUUGAUUAGUUUAAUUUUAUCUAUCGUCGCCUUAACAAAAAUAAUAGAAAUUGUUGAUAUUUUUGCUAACUAAAUUGUGAUUUAAUAACCUACUUAUAAAUAUAAAGCCUAAAUUAACUAAUUAAAUGUGUGAUUAUAACUAAAUGCAAGUUUUAUAAAAAUAUGAUAACGAAAUGCGUACUAGGAUUCCGAAUCCCCUUAUAUCAAUCCCCUUUAAUCCGAAUUUUAUAAAAUUGACAACACGAUUCAAUUAUGAAGAUCAAUAUUCCUAACUUGUUUAACAAUCUCUCUCGAGUAGAAUUAAACAUAUUUUCACAUGGGAUCCGACUAUAUUUCUAUGACGGAUGCAAACAUAUAAAAAUACAUUAAAAAUUUAUGAAUACUUAAAGAUCAUGUAAAGUAUAGCGGUAUAUUUCUAUCCCCUAUCAAACUUUACGACAAUUAACAUAAUGUCUAACUUAUUUUUCAUCUCUCGAGGGUAAAACAAGUCACAAAUCUCAUACAACUAUUGCGCACAUAAUUGUAGAGAAAGUAAAAUCCAUGCCAAUCAUUCAAUAAUUAAAAAAAAAACAUGUUUUAACGUCAAAUAAAUAAAAUUCAAGAUUAAGGAUUCAUAAUAUAAGGAUCAUCGCAAAUCCUAGCACAUGAAAAUCUAGUCUAACAUGGUUAAAAUAACAAAAUACAUCAGAUUUUGGAUAAAAGACAUCAUCGGGUUAUCAAAUCUUGAGAAAUCUCGAAGCUCUUUGUGUAAAUCUUCGUUCUUGCACUCAAAAUUCUCUCCAAGAAGUGUUCUUCUACCUCCAAUCCAUUCUACUUCUUUCUGGAUGUCUUUUGGUAUUUAUAUUGCAUGAAAAUUAGGUUAUCAAAAGAGUUUCGAUCGUAUAAGGAAAUUGCAAAAUCGGCCCCCAGAAUAUACCUAUGCGAUCGCAUAGUACAUUUCUAUGUUGUCGCAUAGAGUAAAAAAAUUUGAGAAAAAAUUCUCGGGAGGCUUCUAUGCGACCGCAUAGAGUUUAUACUAUGCGACCGCAUAGUUAUGCGAUUCUUUCCGCCGGACAACCUUUAGUAUUUUGAUCAUAACUUUCUCUCCUGAUCUCCGAUUGAAGUGAUUCAAAGUUCAUUGGACAGAAAACUCAAAUAUCUACACUUUUAAUAGAAAUAGGCUUUCUCAAAGUCUGAUGUGUACUAUGGCAAAAAUGGAUCUCAAUUAGAGGCUAAAAAUCACGAGCAUAGUUUUUUCGCCUGAAAGUUGAUACUUGAUAAUACUUCGAUCAUAUUUCACCUCUUUGACUCCUUUCCUCAUCUGAUUGACCUCUAAUACUCUUGAAUCUUCAUUCCAUUUCCUGUCUCAUCUAUGGAUUAUUUGCAACUUGGUCCCCGAACUUUCAGUUUGAUUCAUUUUGGUCCUUUUUGCUUGUUUCUUUUAUUUCCAUCAUCUUAUAAUAUCACCAAAUUGGUACUUAGGUCAUUCACUUCCUUGAUUUGUCCUUCGGACCAUCUUUUGGAUAAUUGCACUUUGGUCCCUGAGCUAUCACUUUGCUCCAUUUUAGUCAUUUUUCGGCUCUUUUCUCCUGAAUUCCACCAUUUCCAUAGAAACACCCACAUUGCAUGAAUUCAACGAAAUUAAAUCACAAUUUAAACAUUUUUCUUGUAAUUAAGGCAUGUUUGUGAUCUAAAUAAGUGUGCAAAAACACACUUAUCAAUAGUCAAAGUUAUACCUUCUAUCACAUAUUCUAUCUAACCACAAAGUAGAUUGAACUUUUGGAUGUUGAAUUUUUUUGAAUUCCAGUAUGCAUAUUUACAUAAAUACAGGACUUCUCCCUACAUUCCUCAUCUCCAGCCAAAAUAUAAUAAUGCCGUAUUAGAAUUUAAUAUUAAUUCAUACAACCAUAUGUUAAACGAAAAGUGUUAAUGAGGUUUACUCAGUGCACACUCGAAGAGUAGCGGCUGUGGGUUCCUCGUAAAAAAAAUUAAAAAAUAAAAAAUAAUAAAAAAAGUGUUAGUGAGGUGGUUCCAUGAUGGAUAAUUAUUGGCAAUUAAAAGUUAAAAAUUCAAAAAACAAUUUCUUAGAAGAAAAAAAUAAUUGUCUUCUCUACCUCAGAUGAGGUCUUCCAAAUAAAUCUCUAUAAAAUGUCCAAAUUGCACAUUUUAAAUGUGAAAACUGAGAUAAGCAAAGCAAAAAAGUCAGCUGUUCUCAUCAGCACAUGAAUUUUAAUUUCAAGUUGCUGAGCUAAGUUAUCUAUCUUAUUUUCAAUUCAACAUUUAAUGCAUGUUUUAUAAUUUCAAGAAUUAUAAUUCAAGGAUGGUAUAUUAUUUUAUCUCAUUUCCAUUAAGAAAUUCCCACCUUUUACAAUAAAGUAAAAUGUACAAAGAAGUCGAAAUAAUUUACACCUGAAGUAACAUCAAAUGAUAAAAUCAAAAAAUUGCGUUUCAUAUUUAUUUAUUUACUUUGGUUCAAUAUUUUGCUCACAUCACAGAAAAAUGAUUCUCGCUUUGUAGGCAUUAUUCUUUACUGUAUCGUGUCUUGAGAUAAGAUAAAUUUUUAACAAAUAUCAUUUAUAUGUUGAGAUAUAAAAUUUCAACAAGUUAAAAAUUUGAGCCAGUUGUUACUAAUAUUAUAAACGAGAUAAUGGACAUUAUGAAAAUAGCAUUCACAAGAACACAAGAUUUACGUGAAAAUCCAAGAUGGGAAAAAUCAUAGGUAAAAAUGAAGAAUUCACUAAUUAAAAGACUCUCUCCUAAUCUCAACAAUCCUAUAGUUGCAUCUAAUAGCUGGAGUCAUGGAUACCUCAGGUGCUCAAGAAUAUGACAGAUUGCAAGAAUUGAAGACGUUUGAUGAAACAAAAGCUGGUGUAAAAGGAUUAGUUGAUUCAGGAUUGCAAAAAAUUCCCAAGAUUUUUGUAAGACCAGCUGAAGAACUGGCUAAAGAUUUGAAUUACAAGAGGGCUCAAAUUGAAGCUCCUGUGAUUGAUUUGGGAGAUCUGGAGAAAACCCACAGGCAUAAAAAGAUUGUAGAAGAAGUAAGGAUUGCAUCAGAAACAUGGGGAUUUUUCCAAGUGGUGAAUCAUGGGAUAUCCUUAAGUGUGCUCGAUGAAAUGCUUGAUGCAAUACAGAAAUUUAAUGAGCAGGAUGUUGAGGAGAAAAAGAAAUACUACACGCGGGAUAAUACGAGAAGGGUGAGAUUUAACAGCAAUUUUGAUUUGUUCGCAUCAAGGACUGCUAACUGGAGGGACUCAUUGGCUAUUUCAUUUUUAGAUCCUGAUCAAAUUAAUUCCGAUGACUUGCCAGCUAUAUGUAGGUAUGUACUCAAAGUUUAGCACUUGUUGGAUUCGCAGUACUAGAAAUUUGAUUAAAUUUUGGACUUUUUCCUUAAUACGGUUUCUUACCAUACAAUACACCUUGUCAAACAUGCCAUUAAUUCACAGGAAGUCAGUUAUAGAGUACUCAAAACUCGUCAAUAACUUGGGGAAUAUUCUGUUUGGAUUACUGUCGGAGGCUCUUGGACUCCAACCUGAGUACCUAAGAAAAAUGGACUGUUCUGAUGGGCACCGUUUUUCCUGUAACUAUUACCCAGCGUGCCCUGAACCAGACCUCACUCUGGGAAUCGCAAAGCAUUCAGAUCUUGGAUUUCUCACCAUUCUUCUACAAAACCAAAUCGAUGGUCUCCAGAUUUUCUUCCAAAACCAAUGGGUUGAUGUCCAGCCCAUUCGUGGAGCACUUGUAAUUAACAUUGGGG